UUUUCAAGAAAAACCCCAAGACAGAAAACGCAUUCGUAUUGUUUAUACGUAAAAAUGCGCUCCAGGUACUCAUACCUAAAUACGGACUUCAAGGGACUGUGUACAUCACCCAACAAGGUGUAUCAGACAAAGAUAUUGUAUUUGAUGAAGAAGAGCCGUCGUUAACCGUUCGUGAUGUCAAGUUUCGAAUGUUUGAUCAAGUCACGUGUGAAAUCAAAGUGGAAGUUACUGCAACUCACAACUCGUUCCUUCAAUUCAAGCUACUUUCACCAAAGAUUGAAACGAGUGGAGAGGAUGUCGCGUCACCAUGCAAGAAAGCCAAGCUAUCAUGAGCCAUGAGAUUCGUCAAGAAAGAUAGGUUUUUACUAAGAAAUACUGAUAAAUAGCAAUAAUAAAUAAUGUAUGAAAGUUUUAUUAAGUUGUAUUUACAGAUCUAGUAAUUUCGAAAAUCCUUCACAGUUGCCUUAACCAUAUGCCUUUGCAUGUAACCACGAAAGAAAUGUAGACCGGUGCUUGCAUCAGUCACAUGCAUAUCUAUUAUUGCAUGUCAUUCGUAGUCUCGCUUCAAUGCAAAACCAAACAAAACAAAAUUAACGAACAAAAAACAACUUUUCAAAGUUGCGAUGGGAAAGAUACUGUAGAGUGAUCCAUACUGCGCGCUGAUUGGUCCAGAAGAUUGCUUUAUUUGAUAUUCGGUAUUCCUACCUUGUUUCGAAGUUAGGAGGGGACUCGAUUUUCAAGAUUUUUAAAGUCUCAAAUCAUUUAAAACUUGCAGAUAUUAUAGCGAAAACACUUUUAAACAAUUACCAUUUCAUCCUUUAUUGCUGACAUAGCGUUAGUUUAUGACCUUGAUAUUCCCAUGGUAAUGGAAUUAGAGAUACUAUUACCAUAAGUGGUGCUCAGUUGCUAAAAAAAUACGACUAGACAUGAGAUAUUUAUAGACCAGAGCUUAUCUGUUUAAUAAUAAACAUUGCUUGUACAUAGUAACCGUUGACAUUAGAUGCAAUACUUUCACACGAUUCCGUUUUUCAUGAGGUUGUGUUUGUAAUCAUGUUUGAAGGUCGGUUUACCUCAGUUUUUGCUAGGUCAGUCGUUUCCCGCAUUGCUGGUACACGCCCAUUCGUUGUUGCAAUGUCAAGGUGACCGUGUAUUUAUUUAGAUCGUUCUAGACAGGGUGUAAUAUACACUUGUAUAUCUNCCUUUUUGAAGUACCUUCAAUCUUCUACAAGAGAGACUGUCAACAGGUAUCGAUUACCACUAAUGCUAAAUUGUACGAAUUUCUAGGAAUCUUUCGUUCGUUUCCUUUUUUUUGAUAUCAUUUUGACAUGAUUUUGUUUUCUCAGAUAUUUUAGGACUUCGUAGUUUAGUCAAUGAAAUGAUCCACUUUUCCAUUUCGAAAGUUAAGUUCUGCACACCUUUUUGCUUGACAGAAGGUUCAUUUCUUUUCUUUUUUUUGAAUUUUUAAUAACUUGACAGUAUUUAUUCUAUUUCACAUAUUUGACUUCCACCACCCACAAGACCGAACGAUAACGCCUUAAUAAAAAUGCUGCUUUUAAAACCCAGCAAAAAAGAGACCUUGGAAUUUAUGAUUAGCGGAGUAUGUGACAACAACUCUUUCUCGGAAAAGGUAGUGUCCAAUAUUANAAAUAUUAUUGUAUACUAGGUAUAGUGUACUGAUUCUUCGUACUGUGAUCUUUAUACUGUGUAACAAUGUAUCAUUUCAUCACAAUCGUUUCUUCAGAAUUGCCGACGUGGGUUUAACGCUAGCUUUCUUUUCGGUCUCUUCUGUUAAAUCUGUCUUCAAAUUUCUAGGGAAUUUUUUUCUUUAAACACUUUUCUUUUAAUCUAGAUAAUUCGGAUAAUUUUGAAGAAGUGAUUUGAUAUUCAUAUCCCACGUUGUAAAUAGGUGUUUUUGAGUAGAACAUGAUGCAAGGUGUUGAUACGUGGCUAUCAUCGUCAAUUCCAAACCCCAAAAUCCAACCAUCUCCCUUUGCUGUAGUAAAAAUCAGAUGUUCACUCAAAAUAAAUAAUAUAGGUUAAAAUAUGAAUGAUUUGAGGUGAGCCUGAUGAUGUUAAAUCGAUUGAUGGGCUGGUGGUAUAUCAAUGAAGGUAGGUACCACAGUAUGCAAGGUAUGUCCCUAAAUUCACCAACAAAUAUAUGAUCAAAUGGCGUUAAUCUCACUGUGAAAACAGCGCUUGGAACACGCAUUUCUCUUCUAUUUUUAUAUGUUGCUAUUUUUAUAGCUCUUUAUACAUAUAGAGUCCCCCUGAAAAUACUCGCACGACGNAUUAUCAACUAAGUAGUUUUCUUAGUAAACAAAACAUGGUGCAACUGAUUGACUGAUUGAUGCAAUAUUUAUAUUAAUAGAGCGCAAAAGGGCGNAAUGGUAGAUUUUACCAACUAUUUCAUUUUGAGUGUUUGCGUCAACUUUUUGCAAGAAGAUAAAGCGACCAUUUCAUGAAACCUUAUUACAGUUAUCCUGUACUGGUACUUACAAUGUGUCAUGCCAUACAUCGUGCCCUACCACCCACACAGGCCAAGUUCAAACCGCUAGAACUUUAAGAGUAUUUAUUAGCUUCUGGUAUUUUCAUUAGUGAGUCAAGGUUACUAUGUAACAAGUGCUACAGCAAACAGGAAUACAGCUAGAU
rnacentral:sRNA from 1 species